AUACGGGGGGGGCUAGCGUUGUUCGGAAUUAUUGGGCGUAAAGGGCGCGUAGGCGGCUAGGAAAGUUGGACGUGAAAUCCCGCUGCUCAACCGCGGAACUGCGUUCAAAACUUCCUGGCUUGAGUCCCGGAGAGGGUGGCGGAAUUCCCAGUGUAGCGGUGAAAUGCGUAGAUAUUGGGAGGAACACCAGUGGCGAAGGCGGCCACCUGGACGGGUACUGACGCUGAGGCGCGAAAGCGUGGGGAGCAAACAGGAUUAGAAACCCCAGUAGUCC
rnacentral:rRNA from 1 species